rnacentral:lncRNA from 1 species
AUUAAUAUUGUUAAAAUGGCCAUACUACCCAAGAAAAUCUACAGAUUUAAUACAAUCCCUACCAAAAUACUCAAGACAUUUUUUCACACAACUAGCACAAAUAAUCCUAAAAUUGAUAUGGAACUGCAAAAGACCCCAAAUUGCCAAAGCAAUCCUUAGGAAAACAAAGCUGGAGUUAUAGCUCUUCCAGACUUCAGACUAUACUGCAAAGCUAUAGUAAUCAGACACAUGGAUCAAUGGAACAGAAUAGAGAGCCCAGAAAAAAACAAACAAACACAAAAACCCAUGCACCUCUGGCCAAGUACUCUAUAAAAGGAGGCAAGAAUAUACAAUGGAGAAAAGACAGUCUCUUCAACAGGGGGUACUAGGAAAGCUGGACAGCUACAUCUAAACCAGUGAAAUUAGAACAUUCUCUUAUACCACAUACAAAAAAUAAACUCAAAAUUGUUUAAACACCUAAAGACAUGAAACCAAAAACUCCUAGAAGAGAACAUAAGCAAACAGUAUUGAUGUAAAUCACAGCAAUGUUUUCUUGGAUCAGUUUCCCAAGGCAAGAGAAAUAAAAGCAAAAAUAAACAAAUGGGACCUAAUUAAACUUAAAACCUUUUGGAGUUCCUUUUGUGGCUCAGCAGUAAAGAACCUGACUAGUAUCCAUGAGGAUGCAGGUUCAAUCCCUGUCCUUGCUUAGUGGGUUAAGGAUCUGGCGUUGCUGCAAGCUGUGACGUAGGCUGCAUCUGCAGCUCUGAUUCAGCCCCUGGCCCAGGAACUUCCAUGUGCUGCACGUACAGCUGUAAAACGAAGAAUAAUUACCUAUAAUGGAAAAGAAUCUGGAAAAAUACUGAAUCACUAUGAUGUGUACCUGAAACUAACACAGUGUUAUAAAUCAGCUAUACUUUGGGGUUCCCGUUGUGGCUCAGUGGGUUAAGAACUGGACUAACAUCUGUGAAGAUGUGGGUUUGAUCUCUGGCCUCACUCAGUGGGUUAAAUCUGGCAUUGCCAUGAGCUGUGGUGUAGGUUGCAGAUGCGGCUUGAAUGCCGCAUUGCUGUGGCUGUGGUGUAAGCUGGCAGCUUCAGCUCUGAUUUGGCCCCUGGCCUGGGAACUUCCAUAUGCCGCAGGUGUGGCUCAAAAACAAAUAAAAAAUAAGUAAAUAAAUAAAUCAAUAUAUUUUGAUGAAAAACGAAAAGAAAGAUGGCCCAAUAGCGACUCCUUCAGGCUAAGAAUAUAUUAGUCAAAUGUUCUGAGAAAACAGCUGUCCUGCAACUUUGGUCCCUCAUUUUCUAGGAGAUGAAUAUUUAGUUGACCAUUCUGAUUUAAAUAAAAUGCAAACAAGAGAAGUUUUCUAUUACGUUAAUAGACCAGGUGAAUACCCAGAAUGAUAACGACAAUAUAAGGACAAAAAUAAACCUUGUGUCAUUAAGAAGAGAAAACAAGAAACCUGAGGUACCAAGAAGGUAGAAAGUGAACAUUGCUGUAAAAGUCUGGGCAGCCAAGCAUCUCCCCCGACCCUCCCAACCCCCAGGUACUCCCAGGAGGAGGGAGGGGAGGGAUGGGGAGAGGCACAUCUAGAGAAGAUGGGCCAGCAGCUGUAGGGGGACACGGCCACACCUAAUGCUGGUGGUGGCAGAACCCUGAGGUCAUGGAGGAAGAGAACAUGGCUCAGUGGAAAGAACACCCCUUGUGCUUGGGCCAGCCUAUAGGAGCUGCCCUAGAAGGAGAGAACCUUCAAUCAGAAUUCCUAAGGGUCUAUCUGAUCAGCCAGCCUAAGAUGCGGAAGGUUAUAACGAAGCUCUCCCCAUGUGUCUGCUUGGGUCAGAAGGUAGGUGGCAGCCCUUUGCUGAGGCUCGAGGUGAAGCCUGGCCUUUCUUCCCUAGAAUCCUCCAAGGCACCCUACCUAGGUCCAGAGAAGCCUCCUUAACCCCUCCCUGUGCUUCUGGGCUAAUGAUCAACACCACCCACUCCCUGAGGGCUGCCUAGACAAGGGCCCCUUGCACCUAAUACCAGAGGCUUUUUUUUUUCUUUUGGCCUCGGGGCCAGGAGUUCCCAGGUGAGUGAUCAAACCAACCCUUUACCAUGGCAUCGACCUGAGACCUGAGAUGCUACAGUGACAGCACUGGAUCUUUAACCCACUGUGCCACAGGGAACCCUCAGCCAGAGGCAGUUUUCAUUGUUUAAAUUCUUUAGGCUGAAAAGAAUCUGGGGUCCCAGGUCAUCAGUAAUGGAAAUAGAGAAAAAAUAUUUCAGUAAGUUUUCCUGAUCAUUGAUAUGAAACUUAAGCAGAUUUUUUUCUGAGCUGUACAGGGACUCAUAUGUGGUCAAAUGGCCAUGAGGUGGAUCUGGUUUUUAUUUAUUCAUACCAUUGUUUGCACUAACUAAGGCCAACCAAUCCCUGUAUUAAUCGGUGAUCCAGUGUUUAACUGUGCUUUGGGCCUUGGGGGUAAAAGAACAUUGAAACAUUGUUCCUAAUGCCAUAAAGAGCUUAUAGUUGAGUGUGAGACACAGUACCAUGAAAAGUGACAGGCAGGACACACAGUGUUUGAUGUUCCCACAUUGCCCUUACCUCAUCUGUAAAAUGGGCACAAUCACAUCUGUUUUCAUAGGAUUUAUAGGAUUAUGAAGAUCAAGUCAAGUCAGCCUACACCAACCACACCAAAGCAACCACCAAGCUUCUUUGUUCUUCCCCUUUAUAAACUCUGAACCUGACACCCAAGUGGAGGCUGGUCUCCUACUCCCUUGCUGGGUGCUCUGCAAUAAACCCCGACUUGGCUGCAAACACCCGCUGUUGGUUUAGCUUUCCUUGCAGCAGUCAUACUCCCUUUCAAUUUUGGCCACAGGAUUGGCCCUCUCAGCCUCCCCUGAGACUAGUGCCGGUGGUUUGCUGGCCUUUGGCUCCAGUGGGGCUUUCCCUUGGCGGAAACCAGAAGCUGCCCGUUUUUCUUUGACCUGGGGAUCCAGCCUGGGAGGGAGUUCCCUUCUUGGAGCGCCAGCAACCCUUCUCAAUAUCUUCUGCCAGUGGUAAAGGAACGGAUUUUGGAUUGGAAGAUGGUAAGCAGCUUUUGCUUGAUGAUGCCGGUGAGAAAUCUUUUACCUUUGUAAAUAUGUACUCUCCACAGGUGCCUCUGGACAUCGGAGGAAUUGGAGGUUCCACUUAGGAUUGUGUUUGGAUUGGCUAUUUGUUUGAGCAUUUGAUGUUUGGGUCUUGUUUGUGCUGUGUCUGAAAGGUGCACCAUUUGUUAACUGCCAUUUUUUCAGUGGCACUCACAAUGGGCCCCUGAGGCUCUCUUGCUGAAUUUCCAUCUCCUGCUGCCAAGACCUGCCACCAAAGCACAAGCAUAACCAAGAAGAGAAUAUUGGGAGGACUGGAGUACUGCAACCGAGGUACCGGCCACCAGUCCAGCCACUUCUGAUGGAGGGAGGAUCUGCGGUGGCAUCGGUCCCCACUGCUCCCCCGUGUGGUCGGUCCCAGGCCUUGCUGCCUCCACCUUCAGAUGUGCAGCCUGCAACAUGGAGGGAGGUAUGGGGUGUGUCUGGAUGUGUGUGGGGCGGGAGCUAUUCCAGGGCCACCUACUGGGCCCCCUGGAAAACCCCAUCCUACAUGCUCCCUUCUGGGUGUCAAGCCCUCCUCUCUUUUUUUUUUAGGUCCACACCUGUGGCAUGUAGAGGUACCCAGGCUAGGGGUCCAAUGGAAGCUACAGCUGCUGGCCUAUGCCGCAGCAACUCAGGAUCCAAGUCGAAUCUGCAACAUACACCUCAGCUCAUGGCAACGCUGGAUUCCCCAACCCACUGAGCAAGGCCAGGGAUUGAACCCACAUCCUCAUGGAUACUAGUUGGGUUUGUUACCGCUGAGCCACAACAGGAACUCCAAGCCCUCCUCUUAGCUGAGAUUUUGAAUUAGAUUCCACAUAUAUGUGAUAUCAUAUGCUAUUUGUCUUUCCCUGUUUAACUUAUUUCACAUAAUGUGAUAAUGUUUGGGUCCAUCCAUGUUUCUGCAAAUGGCAUUAUUUCAUUCUUUUUUAUGGCUAAUAUUCCAUCCUACAUAUAUUAUAUAUCUUCUUUAUCCAUUCUUCUGUCAAUGGACAUUUAGGUUGCUUCCAUGUCUUGGCUAUUAAUAAAAGUGAUACUAUGAACAUUUGGGUGCAUAUAUCUUUUCAAAUUAUGGUUUUCUCCAGAUAUAUGCCCAGGAGUGGGAUUGCUGGAUCAUUUAUGGUAGUUCUAUCCUUAGUUUUCUGAGGAACCUCCAUACUGUUCUCCAUUGUGGCUACACCAGUUUAUAUUCCCACCAACAGUGUAGGAGGGUCCCCUUUUCUCUAUAUCCUUACCAGCUACAUAUUAUUUAUAGACUUUUUGAGAGAUGGCUAUUCUGACUGGUGAGAGGUACUACCUCACCGUAGUUUUGAUUUUAAUUUUUCUAAUACUUAGAAAAAUUGAGCAUUUUUUCAUGUACUUUUUUUGCCAUCUGUAUGUCUUCUUUAGGGAAAUGUCUGUUUAGAUGUUCUGAUCAUUUUUUGAUUGGGUUGUUUUUUGUUUGUUUUUAGGGUGACACCCAAGGCAUAGGGAAAUUCCCAGCUUAGGGGUGGAAUCGGAGCUGCAGCUGUAGGCCUACACCACAGUCACACCAGAUCCAAGCCGCAUCUAGAACCUAAGCCGCAGCUUGCAGCAAUGCCAGAUGCUUAAUCCACUGAGUGAGGCCAGGGAUUGAACCUACAUCCUCGUGGGUACUUGUCAGUUUCCUAACCUGAUGAGCUACAAUGGAACUUCGGAUUGUUUGUUUUUUUGAUAAUAAGCUGCAUCAGCUGUUUGUAUUUUGGAGAUUAAUCCCUUGUUGGUUGCAUCGUUUCCAAAUAUUU